rnacentral:pre_miRNA from 12 species
AGUGGGCUGACCCCAUUUCCUGGGUCAGGUAGGCAGUGUGCUGUAAGCUGGCUGCUUGGGUUCAAUUGAGCAGUCAGGACUAGCCUGCCACUUGCUCCUGGACUGGUUCAUCUUUUUCAGU